rnacentral:hammerhead_ribozyme from 1 species
ACACUACCGACGAGUCCCAAACAGGACGAAACAGCUGUCCAGUGC